rnacentral:lncRNA from 1 species
UGUUACGGAGUGAGUUGUAAAUAAUUCACUGCCACCAGAAGCCCAGAGUGCACAAACCUGAGGAGCAAAGCAAUCUCUUCCUUGGCUCCACAGGUUGCAACACCUCUUUGGUUCUGCAGGCAAGGCUGCCUAGCACAGGACUUCAGGGGACAAUCUGCAGGUUAUGGAAGAUUCAGAACUGGAGAAAAAAUUCAUCUCAGGAAGAAUCUGUCUUGAGUCUCACUCAUACCUGAUUUAGACAAUGUUUAAAUGAGACUUUGGACUUGGAGUUGAUGCUGAAAUAAGAGGCAGGAGGCAAAGAAAUUCUGGGGAGACAAGGGCAAGUCCCUGGCAUAACCCUACCUUCGAGCUGAAAAGCCGGAAACCCACCGCCCAAAGUGAGAACUUCUAUUUCUGUUUGCCCACUCUCUCCCAAUUGGUUCUUUCUGAAUAAUGUCUUUUUACCAAUCAAAUGUUGCAUUUUCCAAAACUACCUAUGCCUACCCUGGCCCCCACCCUGUGCCUAUAAAGACCCCAGACUCAGCCAGUAGGGAGAGAAACCUGGCUUGACUAGAGAGAGGUGACUUGACUUCAGAGGGAUGGCUGGACUUCAGAGGAGAGCCUUCAUUUGAAGAGCCAGCUAGAGCCAGCCAGACUUCAGGGAAAAUUAUCUGCCCAUUCCCGUCCCCUCUCCAGCUUUUCUCUCCACUGAGAGCCAUUUUCAUCACUAAAUAAAAUUCUCCAUCUCCACCAUCCUUCAAGUGU